GGCCGACAUACUUUUAUCAGAAAGAUUAUGAAAAAUAUUAUAUUAUAUAGAUAAGUAAUGAGAUUUAUAGUAUAAGAGUGAGUUUACAGAUGUGUGUUUGUUUUGAACUAUUUGUGAAAAGUAGUUUCUGUAAGUCAGCAAAUUGAUAAAUGUCGAAGAGUUUAUUUCAAACGUGGGCAACGAAACCGGACAAUGUUCUGUUAUUGAAGGUGCAAGAAGUGUUUAACAAGAACCUCAUGAAAAAUGAUGAAGAAAAGUUGUAUAUAAAUGUUUGGUGAAAAAAUGGUUGUGGUUAUGAAAAAGAUCAUGAAAAUUUGUAGUUGAGGUAAGUAUGUUUAAGUAUGGGGUAUUUCAGGGGAGGGAAGUUUUGUGGGAAAAAUAUUUAAGGGUUUUAAGAUUGAAGAAAGUUUUGAUUAAGUAAAAUAAGGGAGAGUUAAGAUAUAAGUAAUAUGCAGGAAAUGUUAUAAUAUAUUGGGAAUAAAAUGAGGUGAUAUAUGUUUGUGCAUGUAGUUUAUCGAAGUUAAAUUAGUCUUGAGAAGGAAUGUUGGUUUGACUGAUGCUUGAAAAAGCAUAGUGGUAGUCAUCUUAAGAGUGAAAAGUUUCAUUUUGAUUUCAAAACAUCAGUCAACAAAAACCGUCCUUUUCAAGACUAUAAUAACCUGGACAAUGUACAGCUACAAACAUGUAACGAUACUCCCGGGUUCAAACCAUUUAGUUUAAGUUUUCUUUUACUAUGAUGAGUAAUGCUAAGGUUGUCAACAAAGGGAGUAUUUGGACUAAUGUCGUCUAAGGAUUGAACUAACUGGGAGGAAUAACAUGAUAUUAGAGAUGGGAAUAACAGUCGAUUUUAAUAUAAAUGAAUGAUAUAAAUGCUGAAACAUGUAAUGCUAGUUUUGGGUUCAAAUCAUCUAGUUUAAAAGAUUUUGAUAAGUGAAGUUGCAUGUAUAUAAUGUAAAAGAUGGUAUGUUCAGUAAGUGUUUAUUGGAGUUAGAUAUGAAGAAACGUUUGUAUACAAAAGCUGUAUUUGGAUGGAAAGAAAAGGUUUGUAUGCAGCGGAUAGAGUUGGACAAGAAGAAAUGGUUUGUAUGCAGUGGAUAGAGUUGGAAACGAA